AGUCUGCGUGGAGCCAACCUUGAAAUACCACCCUUUAAUGUUUGAUGUUCUAACGUUGGCCCCUUAUCGGGGUUGCGGACAGUGUCUGGUGGGUAGUUUGACUGGGGCGGUCUCCUCCCAAAGCGUAACGGAGGAGCACGAAGGUUAGCUAAUCCUGGUCGGACAUCAGGAGGUUAGUGCAAUGGCAUAAGCUAGCUUGACUGCGAGCGUGACGGCGCGAGCAGGUGCGAAAGCAGGUCAUAGUGAUCCGGUGGUUCUGAAUGGAAGGGCCAUCGCUCAACGGAUAAAAGGUACUCCGGGGAUAACAGGCUGAUACCGCCCAAGAGUUCAUAUCGACGGCGGUGUUUGGCACCUCGAUGUCGGCUCAUCACAUCCUGGGGCUGAAGUAGGUCCCAAGGGUAUGGCUGUUCGCCAUUUAAAGUGGUACGCGAGCUGGGUUUAGAACGUCGUGAGACAGUUCGGUCCCUAUCUGCCGUGGGCGCUGGAGAAUUGAGGGGGGCUGCUCCUAGUACGAGAGGACCGGAGUGGACGCAUCACUGGUGUUCGGGUUGUCAUGCCAAUGGCACUGCCCGGUAGCUAAAUGCGGAAGAGAUAAGUGCUGAAAGCAUCUAAGCACGAAACUUGCCCCGAGAUGAGUUCUCCCUGAGACUU
rnacentral:rRNA from 1 species